AGAGUUUGAUCCUGGCUCAGGAUGAACGCUAGCUACAGGCUUAACACAUGCAAGUCGAGGGGAAACGACAUCGAAAGCUUGCUUUUGAUGGGCGUCGACCGGCGCACGGGUGAGUAACGCGUAUCCAACCUGCCCACCACUUGGGGAUAACCUUGCGAAAGUAAGACUAAUACCCAAUGACGUCUCUAGAAGACAUCUGAAGGAGAUUAAAGAUUUAUCGGUGAUGGAUGGGGAUGCGUCUGAUUAGCUUGUUGGCGGGGUAACGCCACAAGGCGACGAUCGGUAGGGUUCUGAGAGGAAGGUCCCCCANAUUGGAACUGAGACACGGUCCAAACUCCUACGGGAGGCA
rnacentral:rRNA from 1 species